GACGAACGCUGGCGGCGUGCCUAAUACAUGCAAGUUGAGCGCUGAAGGUUGGUACUUGUACCAACUGGAUGAGCAGCGAACGGGUGAGUAACGCGUGGGGAAUCCGCCUUUGAGCGGGGGACAACAUUUGGAAACGAAUGCUAAUACCGCAUAAAAACUUUAAACACAAGUUUUAAGUUUGAAAGAUGCAAUUGCAUCACUCAAAGAUGAUCCCGCGUUGUAUUAGCUAGUUGGUGAGGUAAAGGCUCACCAAGGCGAUGAUACAUAGCCGACCUGAGAGGGUGAUCGGCCACAUUGGGACUGAGACACGGCCCAAACUCCUACGGGAGGCAGCAGUAGGGAAUCUUCGGCAAUGGACGAAAGUCUGACCGAGCAACGCCGCGUGAGUGAAGAAGGUUUUCGGAUCGUAAAACUCUGUUGGUAGAGAAGAACGCUGGUGAGAGUGGAAAGCUCAUCAAGUGACGGUAACUACCCAGAAAGGGACGGCUAACUACGUG
rnacentral:rRNA from 1 species